GUGCUUUCUUCAGCAGCACAUGCACUAAAAUGGGAAUGAUACUGAGAGGAUCUUGCCCCUGCUCAACAAUGGCACAGAAAUUCAUGAAGCAUUCCAUGUUUGU